CCUACGGGUGGCAGCAGUCGGGAAUAUUGCACAAUGGAGGAAACUCUGAUGCAGUGACGCCGCGUGCAGGAAGAAGGUUUUCGGAUUGUAAACUGCUUUUGACAGGGAAGAAACAAGACAGUACCUGUAGAAUAAGCUCCGGCUAACUACGUGCCAGCAGCCGCGGUAAUACGUAGGGAGCAAGCGUUGUUCGGAAUUAUUGGGCGUAAAGGGUGCGUAGGCGGGUAAUUAAGUUAGAUGUUAAAUAUAUAGGCUUAACUUGUAGAAAGCAAAUAAAACUGAUUAACUAGAGUGCAGGAGAGGUAAGUGGAAUUACUAGUGUAGAGGGGAAAGGCGUAGAGAUGAGGAAGAACACCAGUGGCGAAGGCGACUUAAUGGACUGUAAAGGACGCUGAGGCAUGAGAGCAUGGGGAGCAAACAGGAUUAGAUACCCUUGUAGUC
rnacentral:rRNA from 1 species